rnacentral:misc_RNA from 1 species
GAUGAAGAACGUAGCGAAAUGCGAUAAUUGGUGUGAAUUGCAGAAUCCCGUGAACCAUCGAGUCUUUGAACGCAAGUUGCGCCCGAAGCCAUCAGGUUGAGGGCACGUCUGCCUGGGCGUCACAUAUCGUUGCCCAAUGCCUAUUGCAGUGCAAUAGGAAUUUCUAGGGCGAAUGAUGGCUUCCCGUGAGCGUUGUUGCCUCGCGGUUGGUUGAAAAUCGAGUCCUUGGUAGGGUGUGCCAUGGUAGAUGGUGGUCGAGUUAGAACGAUACCGAUCAUGUGCAUGCUCCCCAAAAUAUGGCCUCUAUGACCCACACGCGUCUUUUGACGCUCAUGACGAGACCUCAGGUCAGGCGGGGCUACCCGCUGAAUUUAAGCAUAUCAAUAAGCGGAGGA